CUCUCUCUCUCUCUCUCUCUCUCUCUCUCUCUCUCUCUCUCUCUCUCUCUCUCUCUCUCUCUCUCUCUCUCUCUCUCUCUCUCACCCCUUCCUCUAAGUCUCUCUUUUACACUCUUACAUUAUUUUUCCUUUUGUUCUAUAGGUGCGGUAGUGCAAGGAGAUUCAACAGGGGGUGGCGGUGGUUAACGAUGACAACGAAACGCUUGAGGCCUUUAUCAUUUUAGACAAAUACACACAUACAGGCCUAAAUAUAUGUUUGGAAUAGAAGUUAUUUUUAAAAGACUUAAUUAUUUUUCUCUGUCAUAUUUUUUUCAAGUUUGGAAGUUUUCUCUUUAGUUUUAAGUUAUACAUAUUUUUUCUAAAUUUGAUUUUUUUUACCAUUUUUCCUUUCAUCUGGCUUGAGUAUAAAGAUUUUGUUAUGAUUGAUUUUGGUUUUUCUUCUUUAUUUUGGUUAGAUUAUUGUUCAACCCUUGAAGGAGACGAAUCUUAUGGUUGCUGGAGAGCUUAUUUUGAGCUCAAAGAUCCUGAGGGCUGGUCAGUCAGUACUUUAAUUGGAUGAGCUUUGAAAUAUGGCCUUAAUUUUUGAGAAACAAGGACGGGACAAUAUACCAGCUUCUCAAUCAGAGGAUACUUUGACUCUAGUCCUAUUAACUUUCUUCUCAUGUAAUACAUUAUGUAUUGUGCUCGCUCCUCUUCUUUGAUCAAUGCAGCACUAACAACAUGCUCGGUGAUUGCUAGUGUAAUACCCGAUAUGAAAUCUUAUUUAUUUAUUGGUAUUAAUUAAAUAUGUGAUUGAAUUGUGUGAUAAUUAAAUUAA